UGAGUAACCUGCCCUUCACUCUGGGAUAACUCCGGGAAACCGGGCUAAUACUGGAUAUGACUCGAACAGGCAUCUGUUUCGGGUGGAAAGAUUUAUUGGUGGAGGAUGGACUCGCGGCCUAUCAGCUUGUUGGUGGGGUAAUGGCCUACCAAGGCUUCGACGGGUAGCCGGCCUGAGAGGGUGACCGGCCACACUGGGACUGAGGCACGGCCCAGACUCCUACGGGAGCA
rnacentral:rRNA from 1 species